AGUGAACGCUGGCGGUAGGCCUAACACAUGCAAGUCGAACGGCAGCACAGUAAGAGCUUGCUCUUACGGGUGGCGAGUGGCGGACGGGUGAGGAAUACAUCGGAAUCUACUUUUUCGUGGGGGAUAACGUAGGGAAACUUACGCUAAUACCGCAUACGACCUACGGGUGAAAGCAGGGGAUCUUCGGACCUUGCGCGAUUGAAUGAGCCGAUGUCGGAUUAGCUAGUUGGCGGGGUAAAGGCCCACCAAGGCGACGAUCCGUAGCUGGUCUGAGAGGAUGAUCAGCCACACUGGAACUGAGACACGGUCCAGACUCCUACGGGAGGCAGCAGUGGGGAAUAUUGGACAAUGGGCGCAAGCCUGAUCCAGCCAUACCGAGUGGGUGAAGAAGGCCUUCGGGUUGUAAAGCCCUUUUGUUGGGAAAGAAAAGCAGCAGGUUAAUACCCCGCUGUUCUGACGGUACCCAAAGAAUAAGCACCGGCUAACUUCGU
rnacentral:rRNA from 1 species